rnacentral:rRNA from 1 species
AUACGGAGGGAGCAAGCGUUGUUCGGAAUUACUGGGCGUAAAGGGCGCGUAGGCGGCCUUGUAAGUCGAGUGUGAAAGGCCGGGGCUCAACUCCGUGCACUGCAUUCGAUACUGCUUGGCUAGAGAGAGGUAGAGGCGAGCGGAAUUCCCGGUGUAGCGGUGGAAUGCGUAGAUAUCGGGAAGAACAUCUGCGGCGAAGGCGGCUCGCUGGGCCUCAUCUGACGCUGAAGCGCGAAAGCGUGGGGAGCAAACAGGAUUAGAAACCCCGGUAGUCC